rnacentral:rRNA from 1 species
CACGUAGGAGGCAAACGUUAUCCGGAUUUACUGGGCGUAAAGCGCGUGUAGGUGGUUCUGUAAGUAGGGCGUGAAAGCUCCUGGCUCAACUGGGAGAGGCCGUUCUAAACUGCAGAGCUAGAGGAUGGUAGAGGGAGGUGGAAUUCCAGGUGUAGCGGUGGAAUGCGCAGAUAUCUGGAGGAACACCAGUGGCGAAGGCGGCCUCCUGGACCAUUCCUGACACUCAGACGCGAAAGCUAGGGUAGCAAACGGGAUUAGAUACCCCCGUACGUCCU